rnacentral:tRNA from 1 species
GAGGAUAUAGCUCAGUGGGAGAGUGCAUGUCUAGCAGACACGAGGUCCUGGGUUCAAUCCCCAGUACCUCCA